rnacentral:rRNA from 1 species
UAAUACGGAGGGUGCAAGCGUUAAUCGGAAUUACUGGGCGUAAAGCGUGCGUAGGCGGUUUAUUAAGUCAGAUGUGAAAGCCCCGGGCUUAACCUGGGAACUGCAUUUGAAACUGGUCAACUAGAGUAUGGUAGAGGAAAGUGGAAUUUCUGGUGUAGCGGUGAAAUGCGUAGAUAUCAGAAGGAACAUCAAUGGCGAAGGCAGCUUUCUGGACCAAUACUGACGCUGAGGUACGAAAGCAUGGGUAGCAAACAGGAUUAGAUACCCUGGUAGUCCACGCCGUAAACGAUGAUAACUAGCCGUUGGGGGGAUUUACCCUUUAGUGGCGAAGCUAACGCGUUAAGUUAUCCGCCUGGGGAGUACGGCCGCAAGGUUA